UGAAGCUCAGAUUCUUGAUGUCUCAGUGCAGAAAGAAUUCAGUGAGAGACACAUUGACAGGCCUCUGCUGGAACCAACUUCAGGCCUAGAAGAAACAGAAAGGAAGACAAGUUUUGUUGGUGCUGAGGUUGAGCCCCAUGAAAAGAAAUGAAGCUCCAGCCAACACAGCACCAACUGCCAGACGUGGGAGUGAUCCACUGUGGAGUCCCAGCCAAGCAAGUCUUCCAGCAGAAGCACAUACCAAGAUUGUAGCUCCAUGUUUAUUUGUGGGAUUAUUUGACUACAGUCUGACCCUGCCUGUCACUCACAUCCCAAGCUCCAUGAGAGCAGAGAGUAUAUCUGUCCUCACCAGUACAUCCCCUGAGCCGAAAACAGGGCAUGGCUAUAUUCAUGUUAACAAGGAAUCUGGCCUCAUCAGCUUGAAGAGAGGAUCUUCCCCAUGUGAUGUAUUAAAAAGAAAUAAGUAUAAAAAUAAAAUGAACAGAAGGCAAUUGUUUCAUUGCAGUGAUGCAUUUGGUACCCACCCACUUCC